rnacentral:rRNA from 1 species
AUUGAACGCUGGCGGCAGGCUUAACACAUGCAAGUCGAGCGGGAGAAGGUAGCUUGCUACCGGACCUAGCGGCGGACGGGUGAGUAAUGCUUAGGAAUCUGCCUAUUAGUGGGGGACAACAUCUCGAAAGGGAUGCUAAUACCGCAUACGUCCUACGGGAGAAAGCAGGGGAUCUUCGGACCUUGCGCUAAUAGAUGAGCCUAAGUCGGAUUAGCUGGUUGGUGGGGUAAAGGCCUCCCAAGGCGACGAUCCGUAGCCGGUCUGAGAGGAUGAUCCGCCACACUGGGACUGAGACACGGACCAGACUCCUACGGGAGGCAGCAGUGGGGAAUAUUGGACAAUGGGGGGAGCCCUGAUCCAGCCAUGCCGCGUGUGUGAAGAAGGCCUUAUGGUUGUAAAGCACUUUAAGCGAGGAGGAGGCUACUCUAGUUAAUACCUAGGGAUAGUGGACGUUACUCGCAGAAUAAGCACCGGCUAACUCUGUGCCAGCCGCCGCGGUAA